rnacentral:rRNA from 1 species
UGGGAAUUUUGGACAAUGGGCGCAAGCCUGAUCCAGCCAUGCCGCGUGCGGGAAGAAGGCCUUCGGGUUGUAAACCGCUUUUGUCAGGGAAGAAAUCUUCUGAGUUAAUACCUCGGGAGGAUGACGGUACCUGAAGAAUAAGCACCGGCUAACUACGUGCCAGCAGCCGCGGUAAUACGUAGGGUGCAAGCGUUAAUCGGAAUUACUGGGCGUAAAGCGUGCGCAGGCGGUUUUGUAAGACAGAGGUGAAAUCCCCGGGCUCAACCUGGGAACUGCCUUUGUGACUGCAAGGCUUGAGUGCGGCAGAGGGGAUGGAAUUCCGCGUGUAGCAGUGAAAUGCGUAGAUAUGCGGAGGAACACCGAUGGCGAAGGCAAUCCCCUGGGCCUGCACUGACGCUCAUGCACGAAAGCGUGGGGAGCAAACAGGAUUAGAUAGCCCUGGUGGUCCACGCCCUAAACGAUGUCAACUGGUUGUUGGGAAGUUCCUUCUCAGUAACGUAGCUAACGCGUGAAGUUGACCGCCUGGGGAGUACGGCCGCAA